GAUGAAGAACGUAGCGAAAUGCGAUACGUAAUGUGAAUUGCAGAAUUCAGUGAAUCAUCGAGUCUUUGAACGCACAUUGCGCCCCCUGGUAUUCCGGGGGGCAUGCCUGUCCGAGCGUCAUUGCUGCCCUCAAGCACGGCUUGUGUGUUGGGCCUCCGUCCUCCUCCCGGGGGACGGGCCCGAAAGGCAGCGGCGGCACCGCGUCCGGUCCUCGAGCGUAUGGGGCUUCGUCACCCGCUCUUGUAGGCCCGGCCGGCGCUUGCCGACACAUCAAUCUUUUUUCCAGGUUGACCUCGGAUCAGGAAGGGAUACCCGCUGAACUUAAGCAUAUCAAUAAGCGGAGGA
rnacentral:misc_RNA from 1 species